rnacentral:rRNA from 1 species
CUACGGGAGGCAGCAGUGGGGAAUAUUGCACAAUGGGCGAAAGCCUGAUGCAGCAACGCCGCGUGAGGGACGACGGCCUUCGGGUUGUAAACCUCUUUUAGCAGGGAAGAAGCGAAAGUGACGGUACCUGCAGAAAAAGCACCGGCUAACUACGUGCCAGCAGCCGCGGUAAUACGUAGGGUGCAAGCGUUGUCCGGAAUUAUUGGGCGUAAAGAGCUCGUAGGCGGUUUGUCGCGUCUGCUGUGAAAAUCCGAGGCUCAACCUCGGACCUGCAGUGGGUACGGGCAAACUAGAGUGCGGUAGGGGAGAUUGGAAUUCCUGGUGUAGCGGUGGAAUGCGCAGAUAUCAGGAGGAACACCAAUGGCGAAGGCAGAUCUCUGGGCCGUACUGACGCUGAGGAGCGAAAGCGUGGGGAGCGAACAGGAUUAGAUACCCCCGUAGUC